rnacentral:rRNA from 2 species
AGGUCAUUGCUAUUGGGGUCCGAUUUAGCCAUGCUAGUUGCACGAGUUCAUACUCGUGGCGAAAAGCUCAGUAACACGUGGCCAAACUACCCUACAGAGAACGAUAACCUCGGGAAACUGAGGCUAAUAGUUCAUACGGGAGUCAUGCUGGAAUGCCGACUCCCCGAAACGCUCAGGCGCUGUAGGAUGUGGCUGCGGCCGAUUAGGUAGACGGUGGGGUAACGGCCCACCGUGCCGAUAAUCGGUACGGGUUGUGAGAGCAAGAGCCCGGAGACGGAAUCUGAGACAAGAUUCCGGGCCCUACGGGGCGCAGCAGGCGCGAAACCUUUACACUGCACGCAAGUGCGAUAAGGGGACCCCAAGUGCGAGGGCAUAUAGUCCUCGCUUUUCUCGACUGUAAGGCGGUCGAGGAAUAAGAGCUGGGCAAGACCGGUGCCAGCCGCCGCGGUAAUACCGGCAGCUCAAGUGAUGACCGAUAUUAUUGGGCCUAAAGCGUCCGUAGCCGGCCACGAAGGUUCAUCGGGAAAUCCGCCAGCUCAACUGGCGGGCGUCCGGUGAAAACCACGUGGCUUGGGACCGGAAGGCUCGAGGGGUACGUCCGGGGUAGGAGUGAAAUCCCGUAAUCCUGGACGGACCACCGAUGGCGAAAGCACCUCGAGAAGACGGAUCCGACGGUGAGGGACGAAAGCUAGGGUCUCGAACCGGAUUAGAUACCCGGGUAGUCCUAGCUGUAAACGAUGCUCGCUAGGUGUGACACAGGCUACGAGCCUGUGUUGUGCCGUAGGGAAGCCGAGAAGCGAGCCGCCUGGGAAGUACGUCCGCAAGGAUGAAACUUAAAGGAAUUGGCGGGGGAGCACUACAACCGGAGGAGCCUG